AAACUUUCAACAACGGAUCUCUUGGUUCUGGCAUCGAUGAAGAACGCAGCGAAAUGCGAUAAGUAAUGUGAAUUGCAGAAUUCAGUGAAUCAUCGAAUCUUUGAACGCACAUUGCGCCCUCUGGUAUUCCGGGGGGCAUGCCUGUUCGAGCGUCAUUG
rnacentral:rRNA from 1 species